rnacentral:snRNA from 1 species
GGAUGCGAGGGUGAUCUGGCUAUGUCAUCUGUCACACUACUGAUUGUUUAUUCAGCUAAUCUGGCUGGCUGGCUAGGCAGGUGUCCCUUUCCUCCUUCAUUGCACUAUGUACUUCCCUCUCAAAGCUGCAUGCGUGGUCGAAGACGAUGACAUUCCCCAAAUAGAGGACAAUCCAUCUUCAGUCAAGAGUAUGUGAAUAGCUGUGCUCCAAACCUCCAAACAAGCUCUCAAGAAGAGGGGUUUUGGUGUAGAGGGUGGGGGAGACUGGACAAAGGAGAGUGUGAGGAAAAAUUGUGUAUAUAAACUGAAAAUAUUAAUCAUUGAAUAC